CAAUAGCGUAUAUUUAAGUUGUUGCAGUUAAAAAGCUCGUAGUUGGAUUUUGGGUCGGGGGCACCGGUCCGCCGUUCCGGUGUGCACUGGUGGCCCCUUCCUUUCUGCCGGGGACGUGCGUCGCACUUAAUUGGGUGGCGUUCGGAGUCGGCGUUGUUACUUUGAAAAAAUUAGAGUGUUCAAAGCAAGCCAUCGCUCUGAAUACAUUAGCAUGGAAUAACAUGAUAGGACUCCGGUCUUAUUUUGUUGGUUUCCGAGACUGGAGUAAUGAUUAAGAGAGACAGUCGGGGGCAUCCGUAUUUCAUUGUCAGAGGUGAAAUUCUUGGAUUUAUGAAAGACGAACUUCUGCGAAAGCAUUUGCCAAGGAUGUUUUCAUUAA
rnacentral:rRNA from 1 species